rnacentral:rRNA from 1 species
AUGAACGCUGGCGGCGUGCCUAAUACCUGCAAGUCGAGCGAACAGACGAGGAGCCUGCUCCUCUGACGUUAGCGGCGGACGGGUGAGUAACACGUGGAUAACCUACCUAUAAGACUGGGAUAACUUCGGGAAACCGGAGCUAAUACCGGAUAAUAUAUUGAACCGCAUGGUUCAAUAGUGAAAGACGGUUUUGCUGUCACUUAUAGAUGGAUCCGCGCCGCAUUAGCUAGUUGGUAAGGUAACGGCUUACCAAGGCGACGAUGCGUAGCCGACCUGAGAGGGUGAUCGGCCACACUGGAACUGAGACACGGUCCAGACUCCUACGGGAGGCAGCAGUAGGGAAUCUUCCGCAAUGGGCGAAAGCCUGACGGAGCAACGCCGCGUGAGUGAUGAAGGUCUUCGGAUCGUAAAACUCUGUUAUUAGGGAAGAACAAAUGUGUAAGUAACUAUGCACGUCUUGACGGUACCUAAUCAGAAAGCCACGGCUAACUACGUG